GCCGGCGGCGGGCGCGGCGGGGGCGGCGGCGGCCCGCCCUCGGAGGUCAUCUGGGACCCGGGAGCGAGGCCCGGCCUGGGGGGCGGGCCCCGGGCCGGGAGCGGAGGCACCGGAACGGGGUCGGCCCAGAAGCCGGGCGAGCGCCCUAGCCCGCCGCCCGGGCUGCAGCCGUGGCCACUCCGGGCCAGUGCUUCGGCGUCGCCUCCCUCAGCUCUUCUGGGGCUUCUGGCGGCGGCGGCGGCGGCGGGCAGGAGGCAACGCCCGGCGCAUCCCUUUCCCGAGGCUCGGUCCCCCGCCUUGCGCAACCUCCUCCCAGGCCGAGAAGCCGAAGCGACCGGACGCCGGGAGGCAGCGCCCGUGAGCUGCGACUGUGGCCGGGACCCCGGGGACGAACCCGACGUCUCCCUUCAGGAGCGCUCCUCUCUCUGUCUCUCGGACUUCCUCCCUCCCGCGCCCUCCCCGCGGCCGUCCUCCCUCCCUCCCUCGCUCCCUCCCUCCACCCCUACCCCGCCCUGCCCCCUCCUCGCUCCAGGCCGCUGCGGGGAGGGCGCGCUGGGGGCGCCGCGCUUACUCCUCCCCCCUCCCAACCUGGCGGCCCGCUCCCUCUCUCAUCUUCUUAACUCUCCAAGGACGAUCUCUCUCUCUUAGUUCUUCUUCUCUCGUCCUCUUUCCCUUUUCCCACCUACUCUCUUUCGAAUGGAGGGAUAACCGAACAACUCACAUUUUGCUAAGAGGACGACCCCUUCCUUCCCGCGCAAGACUCGAUUACCUAUGACUUCAUGAAAACAUUCUCUUUGCCCCUUCCAGCAGUCCCUGAUUCCCCUCCCAGAAACCAGCCGCCCCCCUGGGAGUGGACCCACCCCCUCCUCCCCUCCCCCUCCCCCUUUCCUCCUCCCAACCCAGCCCCAGCCGAGUGGUGCAGCCGCUGGUGCCGCCGGGAGCCGCCUUCCCCAGUACCCGAAGUGACACCAUCUGUCAACUUCAUUUAGACAUUGCGGCCCUCAGCCACACGCCAGGGUGCCAGACGCCCAAAGGAAAUUAUUUCAAGGCCAAUAUUUGAUUGAUGUCUGGACUUUGGAUGUUCCUGCAAAGUGAAGUUUGGAGUUGGCAGUGGAAGCCUGUUAGAAGAAAUGAGGCCAGUGCACAGACAGAAGCAGAGGCCAUGGAAACUGUGGGCUGGCAGCAUUACUAGAGGUGCUGGGUGUUGAACCCAGGGCUUCGUGCAUGCUACUGAGCAUUUUACCAUUGAGACGCAUCUCCAGCCCUUGAAGAUUUUAAUUUUGAUGAAGUCCAAGCUGUCUGUUUCUCUUUUGUCACUUGUAUUUUUGGGGUUGUGUAUAAGAAGACUUUGCCUCAUUGAAGUCAUGAAGAUUAAACCUACAUUUUCUUCUAAGAGUUUUAUGAUUUUAGCAUUUCAUUUAUGUCUAUGAUCCAAAAGCAGAUAAAUUUUAAAAUAUGGUAUAAGAAAAGGGUCCAGCAGUAGUGUUUCCUCUUGAAUUCCUAAUUUUAGUCAUUUAAGUCAUAUUUUUUUCUUGGUCAGUCUAGCUAAAGAUUUGUUAAUUUUGUUAAUUUUUUUUCAAACAAAUAACUUUUUGUUUUGUUUCAUUGGAUUUAUCUAUAAUUAAUUAAUUUCCACUUUAAUCUUUAUUAUUUCUUCUUUCUACUUUUUAAAGUUUUUUUUCUAGUUUCUUAAAAUGGAAGGUUAGGUUAUUGAUUUGAGAAGGGCUAUUUGGCCUGCACUAGGUUAUUGAUUUGAAAUCUUUAAAAAUUUUUUUAAUGUAGGUGUUUACAGCUAUAAAUUUACUUUUAAGCAUUUAUGUCACUGGAUCCCUGAAGUUUGGUACAAUUUGUUUUUGAC